GCUGGGUACGGUGGGGCACACCUGUAACCCCAGCAGCUCCGGAGGCUGAGGCAGGAGGAUCAUGAUUUCAAAGCCAGCCUCAGCAACUUAGCAAGGCCCUAAGCAAUUCAGUGAGACCCUGUCUCUA
rnacentral:sRNA from 1 species